rnacentral:rRNA from 1 species
UACGGGGGGAGCAAGCGUUGUUCGGAUUUACUGGGCGUAAAGGGCGCGUAGGCGGCCACUGCAAGUCAGUUGUGAAAUCUCCGGGCUUAACCCGGAAAGGUCAACUGAUACUGCAGGGCUAGAGUGCAGAAGGGGCAGCUGGAAUUCUCGGUGUAGCGGUGAAAUGCGUAGAUAUCGAGAGGAACACCUGCGGCGAAGGCGGGUUGCUGGGCUGACACUGACGCUGAGGCGCGAAAGCCAGGGGAGCGAACGGG